ACCCAUAAUUGGAAUUCUUAGUGAGUCUUAUUUUUCUCCUAAGUUAAGACUGAGGCUGACCUAUUUAAUUGUCAUCUCCCUCUACAGGUGCUAUCUCCAACUUAGGAUAUGUUCUGAUGAUAUAAUUCUACUGACACAAAUAGCAUACUAAAUUGUGAAUAUUUUACUAAAGACCUUCACUGAGCAUUCCUAAUGAGUGCGGAUGCAUGAUGCAAAGAGCUGGCACUUCUCAUCAGUGGAGCACAGGAAAGAAGAUCUAUGAUGCUCAAUUAAAGCUCCAAUCAAGAUUAUGAUGUGAGAAAAAUGUCAGGGGAUUGUCAGUCCAACACGUGAUUGAAGGAGAUAGCUAGGGAAAUAUUUCUCGAUGCCACCGAAGACAGGAAGUGAUGGCAUUUCUCCACCUCAAGGAAAAUGGAUGUUCUAAAAGCACAAAGAACAUGACUCAUGUAGCACUUUGUGUCACUUUAACGAAGAUGCUUCCUUAGUAAUCAGAUGAACAGCCAACAUAGGUGCAAAUGGAUGUGCAAAUAUUCAUCUGAAUCAGGCAGAAGGUUAA